rnacentral:tRNA from 1 species
CGGGCAGUAGCUCAGUGGUAGAGCUCCCGAUUGAUUCGUAUGCGGGAAGACCUGGGUUCGAUUCCCGGCUGCUUAC